UUGAUCUUGACUGUAAUUUCCCUCAGGGAGCAAGUGUGGGAUGCUGUUGGCUGCGAGUGCUCCCAGUUGAAGAAACUCCAUAUUGGAAAGCCAUGUUUCUAACACAUCUUUCCCGUUUGGCUUAUUGCUUCCAGCAUUUUCUAGAAUGGCUUGUCUUCUCCCUAGUACUCCCAAAGCUCCCGGGUAUACAAUUCACUGCACUUGUUGGCUUUGUUUAUAUAUGAAAAAAUUAAGAAGCAUAUGCAGAGAGGGAAUCAGGUGUGAACCAUUUUCUCUCACUUGUUAUUUUGCUGUUAGAGGCUCUAAUUUGAGAGGAAAGAUUAAAAAAAAAAAAAGACACCACCAUCACACUUCCCUCUCUGCAGCACCUUUUCUGAAGGCUCCUUUAAGCCUCAUUCCUGCUCCCAGCUGGGUAGGAUUUUAUGAGCCCCAGGUGCCACGGGUUGAAGUGUCUCCUACCAUUUUCUCACAAGGACUGGUGUGGGGUAGGAGGGAAUGUGCUGUUUGUUGGCUUUUCUUCUUGGCUUUGUGAGGCAAACCUGCUUUGUCCGUGUGCUGUAAGCAGGUGGGAUGAGUGCUCUGUGAAGCCAUUUUUUUGUGGCCUGUGAAGUCUCUGCUCCCCGUGGGAUCUCGGGGAUGGAGGUUACUCUGCUAAGUUAAAAGCAGGACAGUAAGCUUGACACCCAUGUCACUUACUGGACCACAUCAUUGUUUGGAACCAGGAGCUAAGAACCGAAAUAAAUAGAAGAUGCAUUUUGGAUUGCACGUGGAUAAAAAAGAAGUGGUUGUCAUGACUAGAGAAAACUGCUUAAUUCAGUCCAUAGUAAGUGGAAAACACUUUUUUUGAGGGACUGCAAUCAAAAUCAACAGACCGUCCAUUUACGAUCCACCUGUUGCUCUUUGUAGAGGCUAUUUUUAGUUAGGCUGGACUGCAGGUUGCCUUGCCUGCUGCUUUGAGAGCUUCUGGCUCCAUGCUCAUCAGGACUAAAUGAAGCUUUUGCAUUUCCCUGGUUUCAGUCUCUUGGAAAACUGUAUGGAGCUCAUCACAUGGACUAGCUCCAGCUUAACCCCGUCUGCCUGUUAGCACCACAGCAGAAGUUGAAGAUUUUCAGAGACAAGGCAGGAAACUGGGAAUUUGACUGAAAAGGAGGAGAGAAAAGGGCCAAAGCCUUUAGAAACAGCCUUGUUUGUUCACUGUGAUUUUGUGUGGGAUUAUCACAGGCAAGGUGGGCAUGUAGAUAACAAGCAGUGUCUCUGCAAGGCACCCGAUGCUCUCAGGACAUGUGAGAGCUGCUGCCAAGGGGCCGUAGGUCUGAGUGGUCCAGGCACCAUGGGGGAAGCCACUUCUUUAGGGCUGUGACUCUCUUGGGAGCUGAACAGCUGGAAAUCACAAGUAUGUAAUAUGUGCAGGCAGUCUAUCUGGGUGGAAAGUGAGGAUGUUUUAUGUAAAAUGGACAUAAGGUAUCUCUCAGUCCUCAGAGGGGAGUCAGGGCAGAGACAGAACUGUGCCUCAAGGAGAGCUGGAUUGAUAGUAAAGCUGUGGUGUGGGAAUAGCCAGCACUGGGAAGGUGUGAUAAAGGGUGUCUCUUCAACAAAUAAACAGCAUUUGUGCUGUUAUUUUUCCCAGCUAUCAGUGGAGGAAAGGGCAGGAGAUUGUCACUGGAAAAAAACCCAUUAUUUUCAAAGAUAUUACUCUCUCCCAUCAGCUUUAUUGAGGGUUGCAUCAAAGCCUCAGAAACCUGGCCUGCAGCCCUUUCGUUAAGGUGGCCCAUUUGGGGUGUUUUGCAGUCUUAAUUUUGUGUUUGCAAUAGCAUCUGUCACUGUUGUGAAGCCCACAAGAACAAAGUUUCUAAUUUAGUAAUAUGCUUGGCCAUGCUAGGGAUGUGGUGUGAGACUUCUUGUCUCCUGCGCAGACCUGAUCUGGACUGUACGGGUCAGCCUGUGCAACUUACAGUACCUGAUCAUCCUUUUUAGGUUAAAAUGAGCAAGUAGUUUGAUGCAGGUAGAAGGGUGACAUGUCAUUUUCAGUUUAAUUAGGAUUUUUCUCAGGUUGUUUGUAUCAGAAACUUUGUAUGCAACUUGCAUUUGAUGUAAUUUAAUGGCAUUACCUUCAGUGUAGCAAUGCAGGAUGAAGCAUCACAGUGCCCAAGGGCAGCUGUGCUGGAUCAGCCCAGAGGCUCAUCCCCAAUGUGUGUGGAUGCCCCAGAAAGAGUCAGAACAGCAAUCUCUGUAUGUAACAGGCUACCCAGCUCUCUCACCAUCUCCCCUUGAUUAGUCUGAAGUGCUCAGAACUGCCUACAAAAUUUGGCCACAGCCCUCCUACUCAUUUUGAUAGCUUUGUAAAGCCUCAAGAGUGGUGCCAAAAAUAUAUUUUCAAAUAAAAGGAGAACUAAUCCUACUACUGCUGAAGGUGCUAGGGAUUUAAGUCUGAUUUCAAAGCUGAAAUGAUCAAACGACACUAAAACAAAUACCAGAUGUAUUAUUUGGAAAAUGAAAAAGUAAAACCCCCCCAAACCCAAACAAAGCUCACAACUCUUAAUAUUUUUGGAACAUGAAAUUUUUGAAUGCCCUGUCUUGGCUGUGCUCUAAAUACCACCAGCUGUGACAGAAAUUGCUUCUCCAAAAGGCACCAGGCUGAGACUGUCCAUUUAUUUCCUGCUGGCUACAGAAAAUUUUUCAUAUGGAAGCUGUGACAGCUUAGAUAUCUACAAGGCCUCUGUCAGCAGUGCAUUUCAUCCACAAAGUCAUGUUUAAUUGGGUCAGGUAAUUAAGUUUUGGGAAAUUGGGUUAGGCAAAGGUAAGGGGGGUAGGGAGCAUGUGUCUGCUCUAAUCCAUGCUGUUAUCUCAGCAGAACCUGACUAAUAUACCAGAUUUUUUUCCAACCUUCUCGAGACCCCAAGCCAGGCAUGUAAUGUUGCAACUUACACCAUGAGCAGAAUUGCAGGUAUGAUCAGUCCUGGAUUUGCCACAUAGCUGAAGAUCUUGGCAACAAAAAGUGGAAAAUCGAGCUCGAUGGUCUCUUGAAUGACAUCAUACAUCCUUUUCUUUCCACUGGGAAGACAAACAGCCAGUUAAGGAGUGUAGAUAUCUUCUGGAGGGACAAAGUGCCCCAUAGUCUCAUGGUGCUAAGCAGCAUGUUUCACCUCUCAAUGAGCAUCAGCUUGCUGAAGGCCACAAAGGAGUUUAAAAAGCCUUUAUUUGAAAUUACCUAUUGGUUCAUUCAUUCCCUCACUCUCUCCACUCAUUGACUAUACAAUUAAUCUUUGCUAGGCCAACUUGCUCCUGGAGUCAAUACGUUUAUUUCCAUGCUUGACUCCUUUAUGAGUCCUGACUAUUUACCCCUCUGAAAUAGAUAAAACCCUACAGACUGCAGUAACCGCAUAUUUCUGAUGAAUAUCUUGUUAAGUAUGGCCUUUUCAUGGUGGAGAUGACUUUCCAUAUGCAAAUUCCAGCUUUCUGAAAUAAUGAGCCAACUUGAAGAGCAUCUAAGUAAUGACAAAAAUAGCAAGCGGUGAUUAUUGCUUAAUAGGAGACUCAGUGAAAGAGUAAUUUCAAACGGGAUUGAUAAAGCAGAUGAGAGUAUUCUGUAUGAAAGAAGAAGAAAUCUGUAAAGGGCUGGAUUAUGUAACUGACCUUCUUCUCUCCCCAGCAUCUUUGGGUCUGGGAAUUCAACCCUAUCAGGGCUGUUCCUCCCUUUUAGGCUUGGUGCCUCCUGGGAGCUUGCAGGAUUCCCAUCUGGAGGGUGUUGGGCUCUGUCUUGAUGAUGAGAGUCAAUAAAGAAAACUUGGAUAAACAGUAUCCCAACCUCCUCAAUUGCCAGGAGCUCAGGAGAGCUGAGCUUUCAGUUGAGCUGCCAAGGGUCUGAAUCAGGCUGAGUGGCUUUUGAAGGGUUGAUUGGGAAUUGAAAUAGCUCUUUCACAUUGCAGAUUAGUCAUCUCCCAAUGAUAGUGUGCGUGUGCAACAAGUCACUUGUCAGAUCUUCUGACAUUACUCGUUGACACCUGUCCUUGUUAGAGAACUGAGGGUAUUUUGGUCUCUUGCCUUUCUCCUGAGUUUUUUAGCUUUCUGAUGUCAUUCUCCGUCAGCAAGCACACAACCUAAAACAUCUACAAGAACAAUUUGUUCCAAGCUGGCUCCUUGCUGAGUCAGAUUCAUCAGGCCCAGGAAAUGGCGUUACUCAAUCAAAUUAGACUUUAUUGGCACGUUAAUCCAGUCCACUGAAUGCUUUGUGCAGUGCUGAUUCUGUCCUAAUUAAAAAAAAAAAAGCCCCACAAUAUUUUAAAAAAUCCCCAAACAUCAAUGAAGAAGGAAAAAAAAAAAAAAGGCCAGUAAUUUUACAGGCUCACUCCUAUCCAUUUCCUGCUAUUUGCCAAUUAAAGUCAACAUGUAAAAUUUUUUUUGUUGUUGUUUUGGUUUUUUUUCUGGGGGAUGCGCCUUGCUGUCCCACCCCCGCUGUUCUCUGAUGCUUUCAUCACUGUGUGUUGGGAAAACACUGGGAAUCGUGUAGCAGAAGACAGCAGCAGACAGGAGCAGGUACAGUGCUCCCAGCUGACUGUUUACACCCAUAGCUGGACAUGACCCUUUGCCUCACAUUGCUAAGGAUUUAAACACUUCAUCUCUGCUCGAGUCUGUCCUUAUAACUUCAUGAAAAUAUGAAAAAUUUGCUUUCAAAACAAAAUAAUAAUUUUGUUCCCAUGUACCAGAGAACAAAAAUAUCCUUCUUGGUGUUUUGGUAGUACCUGAAAGGUCCACAGUCAAAGGAGGGAGGCAGGGACAUGAUGGUGUAAGCCACAGGCAGGAGGCUGAGGAAAAGGAUCAGCAGCAGCAAUCCCAUGUAAAAAUUGUUAGACUUGGAUGCUUUGAAGACUCUUGCAUGAGGGACAUUGCUACUCAUAACAGCCCAGCACUGAAAAUACAUGGAGGUUAAUAAGCGCAGCACGUUUAUACCCACGAGCCCUGGUGCGUAAAAGGAUCCCAUCCUGAAAAGGAAAAGAGAAGGACAGGAGCUGGUUUUUUUGACAGACUGGAAGGUUUGCUCUUUUCAAGAACAGAAAAGGAGGUGUUUGUGUGGUGACAAGUCUGUUCACAAAUGAAGGCUGAGCGGGCUCAUACCCCUGUGCUCCCACAGUGGAAGCCACCUGCACCCACAGGUUAUGGUGUGGCACCCUCAGUGAGGAUCAGCAAGGCCUCUCAGGGGUUGCAAAGAAAGUUUUUCAGUUUGUGACAAAAAUUUCUUGGAGUUGGCUUGGAAAAUGUUAGGUGAAUGUAACCAGAGGAGAGAGACACGCUUUUAUAGUUAAGAACAGAAAGCCAAUCAGUUAGAAAAACAGAAUCCAAAGGUUUAUCUAGUUGGCUUAGAAGCUUUCUAGCUCCACUAGCAGAUUUUCUAAAUAAUGUGAAAAAUAAAAAAAAAAAGAAAUAUCUUACCAGAUCAUUCCCUGGUUGAAAACCAAACCCAAAACAUUGCCGCUAAUGUCAAACUCUGCAUAGGACGGCUGUAUGGGGAAAGAAAGGAAAGUGUGCUGUUGCUACAGGUACCUGCUUUUGUUUUCUCCUGGGUGCAAAAUGCUUAUUUAAAAUAAAGAAAACUUGGCUUCCAGGGAGGGCUCCUGCUGCCUGCACACUGCUUGAACGAGCAGCAGCAGUGUGGGGAAAGCAGAACUGGAGCUACUGCUGCUUCUCUUCUCUCUUGGCUUCCUGAAAACUGGCAAGAUAUAUGGAGGUGCUUAGAGCUGCUCUGUGUUUCUCUCUCCCUGCUAAUAUGACACCAGCUGUGAGCAUGGCACGGGACCAUGUUUAAACUCCAGCUGGUGCCUGGCUGUGGACUUACAGUUCAACCCUGGUAAAAUAUUGAAUCUUGAAGCAGUGAUAAUUAUGAGCUGGAAGGCAAAUGCUAUGCUGGAUUAUGUCUGUGUCCCUGGGUCCAAGCUGCUGAAGAACAGAAACACAGGGCAAAGGGAGAGAAAUACAAGGGAAUAUAUGACCUGAUGGGUAUUAGGUGACAUUUUACUCUGUGCUAGCUGAUAUAUUGCUCCAUAUAAAGCAGUAUUUUACCUAUCUGAUGUGUAAUGCCACCAUUAGCACCCCAUCUGAUGUGGGUUCUAAUGAUGGCAGGACCAGAACAGGCUGAUCUGAUCUACUGGCAGUAUUUGUUGCUUUAUAAAUUAUUGUUUUGUUAGAUUUGCCUAUGAUGAAGCUAUUUCCUCUAUAUAUAUCUACUUUUGUGUGCACAAAACUUAGGUGAUUUUUGGCAGAUGAAGCUUUGUGUAAAGAUUUUCAUGUUAUGUUUUAUUGAAAAAAAAUCUACCUUUUUUUUAACUGCAGUGCAGAGAACAGACUUCUAUGAAAUAGUAAGUAAUGGUCUUAUAUCUUUGGAAUAUCCUAUGUAGUAUGUCUGUUUUUAUGCCAUUUGCAUUUACUUAAUACUGUCAGCAGUUCAUAAAGUUGAAGAUGUUUGUGCUUUAUGAUGAAAACUCAAGGGGAGUCUAGUCAGAAUCUUGCUUUGCUGACUGCUUAUAGCUUUGGGAAGGGAUGCCUGCAAACACUGUUUUGUUUUUUUGGGUUUUUUUUUGAUUCUGGUCCGUUUCUGUUUUAAAUAUUUAGCUAGAAGUUAAUAUUGGCUUCUUUUUUGCAUGAAAAUAAAGACAACUUUCAGCAUCUGCUGUCCUUCUGCCUUGAAUAUUCCUAGGUGAGCAGGCUGGGUUAAAGGAGAAGAUUAUACAUUAUCUGCAUUAUAAAAACACAUAGAAAAUUGUGCUGGUGUCCCUGGCUAGGUUGGGCUAGUUGGCUGUCAACAAACAAUCUUUGCACAAGCAAUGAAAAUAAUUUCAUGCUGCUUGGCUGUUGGGGGAACCUUCCAAGGCCACCCUGGGAAAUGUCCUCUGCCUCCCUCAGAAGAAACACAAAGAGCUCCACAAGCAGCAAAAUGCCUGUUGUGCCCUGCCUGCUCUUCCU